rnacentral:rRNA from 1 species
ACGCACGCUGGCGGCGUGCUUAACACAUGCAAGUCGAACGGAAAGGCCCUGCUUUUGUGGGGUGCUCGAGUGGCGAACGGGUUAGUAACACGUGAGUAACCUGCCCUUGACUUUGGGAUAACUUCAGGAAACUGGGGCUAAUACCGGAUAGGAGCUCCUGCUGCAUGGUGGGGGUUGGAAAGUUUCGGCGGUUGGGGAUGGACUCGCGGCUUAUCAGCUUGUUGGUGGGGUAGUGGCUUACCAAGGCUUUGACGGGUAGCCGGCCUGAGAGGGUGACCGGCCACAUUGGGACUGAGAUACGGCCCAGACUCCUACGGGAGGCAGCAGUGGGGAAUAUUGCACAAUGGGCGGAAGCCUGAUGCAGCAACGCCGCGUGCGGGAUGACGGCCUUCAGGUUGUAAACCGCUUUCGCCUGUGACGAAGCGUGAGUGACGGUAAUGGGUAAAGAAGCACCGGCUAACUACGUG